rnacentral:rRNA from 1 species
AUUGAACGCUGGCGGCAUGCCUUACACAUGCAAGUCGAACGGCAGCACGGGAGCAAUCCUGGUGGCGAGUGGCGAACGGGUGAGUAAUAUAUCGGAACGUGCCCAGUCGUGGGGGAUAACGUAGCGAAAGCUACGCUAAUACCGCAUACGAUCUAUGGAUGAAAGCGGGGGAUCGCAAGACCUCGCGCGAUUGGAGCGGCCGAUAUCAGAUUAGGUAGUUGGUGAGGUAAAGGCUCACCAAGCCGACGAUCUGUAGCUGGUCUGAGAGGACGACCAGCCACACUGGGACUGAGACACGGCCCAGACUCCUACGGGAGGCAGCAUGGGGAAUUUUGGACAAUGGCGCAAGCCUGAUCCAGCAAUGCCGCGUGCGGGAAGAAGGCCUUUGGGUUGUAAACCGCUUUCAGCAGGACGAAACUGACGGUACCU